UAUUUAUUAGUUUAAAAAAAAACAUUAUAUUUUCAAUAUAAAAACAAUAAAUUUAAUAUUAUAAAUAA
rnacentral:tRNA from 1 species